rnacentral:rRNA from 1 species
GUCCACGCCGUAAACGAUGGACACUAGGCGUCGGGGUAGCGACCCCUCGGUGCCGUCGCUAACGCAGUAAGUGUCCCGCCUGGGGAGGUACGGCCGCAAGGCUGAAACUCAAAGGAAUUGACGGGGGCCCGCACAAGCGGUGGAGCAUGUGGUUUAAUUCGAAGCAACGCGAAGAACCUUACCUGGGCUUGACAUGCUGGUGUAAGCCGGUGGAAACAUCGGCCCCUCUUCGGAGCGCCAGCACAGGUGCUGCAUGGCUGUCGU